GCAACCAUUGCCAAUCUUAACCACAUGUAGAAAAGUCGUUCCGUCGUCGUUCCGGCCACCUAUAGAAAGAUCUAACAUGCUCAUAUCAAUAACAAUGGCCUCAGCUCAAGCUUCUCGCAUAUUUCCACACCUCUUCAAUUAUCCAAAUUGGCAUGGUGGGGACCCAUUUCACGUUCUCGCUCUUGUAAGUUGGGAGUAACCCAAACCACUAUCGUUAUGGCACGUGUACGUUUCGAGCAACUACAAAACCCACCUUCCCUCCCUAGCAGAAAUUUCAGUGGAUCGUAGCAAUCUUCUCUCUAGCAGCGGCAACACAUUCCUAGCGCAACGGACUCCUCUGGCCAAGCUUACUAUUUCAGCUACACCGAAGGGGCACCAUGGCAACUGUAACAGCUGCACACUUCGUUUCAAGGAGCUCACACUCGAGCACCAAUGCAUCAGAAACCAAGGCUAAUAAUUUGGCUCACAUUAGACUCAGGACCCAAAGCAUGAUUCACAAUGGUUUAAGGUCCCACAACAUGACGGAUAAGCUUCAAAUCAGGACACAAUCAAAGGCUGGGAAAAGGGCCACUGAGAAUAGCAGGCCUUCUGCCAAAAUCAUUUGUGGUCAUGGAAUGAAUUUGAUCUUUGUUGGAGCGGAAGUUGGUCCGUGGAGCAAAACUGGUGGACUUGGUGAUGUUCUUGGGGGACUUCCCCCUGCCAUGGCCGCAAGAGGGCACCGCGUCAUGACAGUUUCGCCCCGCUAUGACCAGUACAAGGAUGCCUGGGAUACCUGUGUAUUGGUGGAGAUUAAAGUUGGAGAUAGAAUUGAAACUGUCCGCUUCUUCCACUGCUACAAACGAGGAGUUGAUCGUGUCUUUGUGGAUCACCCAAUGUUCCUUGAGAAGGUAUGGGGCAAAACUGGAUCUAAAAUCUAUGGCCCAAGAGCAGGUUUGGAUUACCAGGACAACCAACUGCGAUUUAGCUUGUUAUGCCUUGCUGCUCUAGAGGCACCAAGAGUUCUGAACUUGAACAGCAGCAAAUAUUUCUCAGGACCCUACGGAGAGGAAGCUGUCUUCAUUGCCAACGACUGGCACACUGCUUUGCUUCCAUGUUAUCUAAAAUCAAUUUACCAACCUAUGGGAAUUUACAAAAAUGCUAAGGUUGCCUUUUGCAUCCACAACAUUGCAUAUCAGGGCAGAUUUGCCUUCUCAGACUUCCCACUACUCAAUUUGCCCGAUAAAUUCAAGAGCUCUUUUGACUUUAUCGAUGGGUACGACAAGCCUGUGAAGGGAAGGAAGAUCAAUUGGAUGAAGGCUGGAAUAUUGGAAUCAGACAGGGUUUUGACUGUGAGCCCAUACUAUGCCCAGGAAGUUAUCUCUGGAGUUGAAAGAGGUGUGGAGCUGGAUAACAUCAUUCGCAAAACUGGCAUUACUGGUAUCAUAAAUGGUAUGGAUGUUCAGGAGUGGAACCCUUUUACAGAUAAAUACAUUGGCAUCCACUACGAUGCCACAACUGUUAUGGAUGCAAAACCUUUGUUGAAGGAAGCCCUUCAAGCAGAAGUCGGAUUGCCUGUUGAUAGGAAUAUUCCAUUGAUAGGCUUCAUUGGUAGAUUAGAAGAGCAGAAAGGUUCAGAUAUUCUUGUUGCAGCUAUUUCACAAUUGGUUGAACACAAUGUGCAGAUAGUAAUCCUUGGAACAGGCAAAAAGGACUUUGAAAAGCAGAUUGAACAGCUGGAGCUAUUGUACCCUGACAAGGCUAGAGGAGUGGCAAAAUUCAAUGUCCCCUUGGCGCACAUGAUCAUAGCUGGUGCUGACUUUAUGUUGAUCCCAAGUAGAUUUGAGCCCUGUGGUCUGAUUCAGUUGCAUGCUAUGCGAUAUGGAACAGUAAUGCGCUUUAAACAUUCGUCUUCCUUUCAGUAGCAACCAUCCUGAUUUUAAUCCUUGACUGAUGGCAUGGAUUUUCUUAUCACUUGCUGGAAUGACAAUGCAUAGCAGUUAAUGACUGUAAACAUCUACUAAUUUUGGCGCAGGUUCCAAUUGUUGCUUCUACUGGUGGUCUCGUUGAUACUGUUAAAGAAGGUUACACGGGAUUCCACAUGGGAGCCUUCCACCCUGAGUGUGACAGAGUUGAUCCAGAAGAUGUAGCUGCAGUAGUUAAAACUGUCGCAAGAGCCCUUGCCACUUAUGCCACUGCUGCUUUAAGAGAAGUGAUCCUGAAUUGCAUGGCCCAAGAUCUUUCAUGGAAGGGACCAGCCAGAUUGUGGGAGAAAAUGCUCCUGAGCCUGGAGGUUGCUGGCAGUGAUCCUGGCAUUGAAGGGGAGGAAAUCGUUCCUCUUGCGAAGGAGAACGUUGCCACUCCUUGAGUAGCAAGGAUGAUAUUUUGACGGUCUCUGAUAUUGACAUAUAUAUGGAUAUAUUAAAUGCACAUAUAAACGUCCAUUCCAGUUGCACGUCUGCUAGGAUCAGGGCGACCUCUGUUCUGGUUGGUUGGUUUGUUUGUUUGUUUGUUUGUAUUUUGGUUUAACCGUGCAUUCUCUUGCGGAGGGUGAAUGGUACCUGAAUCAAUGUCGAGAAUUCAUAACUAACGUGUGUAAUCCUUAUUUAAGGAAACAUAAGACUAUUCACAGCCUUUGCUGGGGGUUAUGUGGAUAAAUAAAGGUUUCUUUGCAUGCCUUUAUGGUCAUAUGUGAAUGGAGAUGUGAUUGCAUAUCACAAAAUUUUCUUCAGUGUUUAACUGCCGUGCAUGUUCAGGGGGAUGAAAGCCUAUGAGGAGAGGGACCCUUCAGAAAUUUUGUGAUUUUUAAAGAGAGAAAAUGAAGCUUCAUUGUAUGAGAAACUCAGCAGGGAGUAGGAAUUUGCCAACUGAUGGGGAGUUGGGGAGUGAAAUGCAACCGUAGGCCGAAAUGACGACAAGAGACGCAAUGGCUCUGAAACUCAUGUUCGCGUAUAAGCAGAGCUGCAGCGAAUUAUUCAGGAUUACCAAUUCAGAAAGAAAAGCCCAUUCAUAGGCUAUGAGGAGAAAUAUUUUCAGUUGGCUGUAGAUGCAUGUAGCGCAAACAGUGAAUUCUUGGCAACCAAACAAAUCAUAUAAUUUCAAAAUUUUAGUUAAGAGUAACACUGCAAUUUUCUCGAUUUCAAGUUUUGAUUCAAAUUAAAAGAAUAUAAGUUUGAUACUUGAAUUCAUUUUUAACCAUUGAUGUAUUAUAACGUAACUCAUAUGUAAAUAAACUUUUUAGCCUGGCGUUAAGCUGCUUGUGCAUGCUAAAACUCGACCAGCCUAAACUCGGCCA
rnacentral:misc_RNA from 1 species